UACGGAGGGGACUAGCGUUGUUCGGAAUUACUGGGCGUAAAGCGUACGUAGGCGGAUUGGAAAGUAUGGGGUGAAAUCCCAGGGCUCAACCCUGGAACUGCCUCAAACUAACUCAGUCUAGAGUUCGAGAGAGGUGAGUGGAAUUCCGAGUGUAGAGGUGAAAUUCGUAGAUAUUCGGAGGAACACCAGUGGCGAAGGCGGCUCACUGGCUCGAUACUGACGCUGAGGUGCGAAAGUGUGGGGAGCAAAC
rnacentral:rRNA from 1 species